UACGAAGGGGGCUAGCGUUGCUCGGAAUCACUGGGCGUAAAGGGUGCGUAGGCGGGUUUUUAAGUCAGGGGUGAAAUCCUGGAGCUCAACUCCAGAACUGCCUUUGAUACUGAAAAUCUUGAGUCCGGGAGAGGUGAGUGGAACUGCGAGUGUAGAGGUGAAAUUCGUAGAUAUUCGCAAGAACACCAGUGGCGAAGGCGGCUCACUGGCCCGGUACUGACGCUCAUGUGCGAAAGCGUGGGGAGCAAACAGG
rnacentral:rRNA from 1 species